rnacentral:rRNA from 1 species
CAAAAGCUUGGUCCUGACUUUACUAUCAACUUUAGCUAAACUUACACAUGCAAGUAUCCGCACCCCUGUGAGAAUGCCCCACAGUCCCCUGCCCGGGAACAAGGAGCUGGUAUCAGGCACAAUUACACCCAGCCCAUGACACCUUGCUUAGCCACACCCUCAAGGGAACUCAGCAGUGAUAGACAUUAAGCUAUAAGUGAAAACUUGACUUAGUCAAAGCUAAGAGGGUCGGUAAAACUCGUGCCAGCCACCGCGGUUAUACGAGAGACCCAAGUUGAUAGACGCCGGCGUAAAGAGUGGUUAAGAUAGACUGAAACUAAAGCCGAACACCCUCAGAGCUGUUAUACGCACCCGAAGGUAAGAAGUCCAAUCACGAAAGUGGCUUUAUGUCGCCUGAACCCACGAAAGCUAUGAUACAAACUAGGAUUAGAUACCCUAUUAU